CAUGCUUAUUCCCCAGUUCACUGUGCCAGUUACAUGAUAAGGCAUAUCCUAAUUUAGCAUAUUUAUAUAUGAAGGUACUAAUUCAAAAUGCAGCCAAAUGAGAAACAUUGCAAAUAUGUGAGAAGGAGCUUUGUAAACUAGACAAACAGUGGCACCACAGAGAUGGAAUAUGGAAUAGUUCUCAACUUCAGGUUCAAAACUCAUUUUGCAUGUAAUCUUAACAUGAAAACAAAAGGCAAAACCAUUGAGGACUGGAUCAUCUGCCUUCGCUUAUUAUACUGCAACACAGGAACAGCCUGAUCUGAAAACUGUGGCCAGGCUGCUGCCAGUACAAGUGCUGCACAGCAUGACUGGAAAGAGGUUGCAGAGGGCAAGAAAGGACUUAUUUUCUGUCUCCAGGGCCAGAUAAUAACAGACUGGUCAAUAAAGGAACAGCGGGCUCCCUUGCCAAGCAGCUCUGAAUGCACAGCCUCAAGUGUAUUUUCUUCUAAAAUGCAACGGUUACUGCCUACACUGGAGUUGUUGGCUGCAGGCUCCACAGCC